GGGAAGAGUACCUGAACAUGUGGCCACGGCAUGCUCGCCUUCAGAACAUGACUUAUUCUGCCAGGAUUAUUGUUGAGACUCAUGUUCAGGUGUUUACUAAAAAGCUAGUUAGAAGCGACAAGUUCAAAACUGGGGUAGAACAGUUUGUUGACAAGGAGUGUGUGAUGGAAGAUAAAAGGGAUGUCUUCAUUGGGAGAAUCCCUGUGAUGGUGAACUCAGAGUUGUGCUGGAUGAGUGGUGCUGACAGGCUUGAUUGUGAAUUUGAUCAUGGGGGAUAC
rnacentral:misc_RNA from 1 species